rnacentral:rRNA from 1 species
AGAACGAACGUUGGCGGCGUGGAUUAGGCAUGCAAGUCGAACGGGCCUGGUUUUCGGAUCAGGUCAGUGGCGCAAGGGUGAGUAAGGCGACGGUAACCAACCCCAUGGUUGGGUAUAGCCGCGGGAAACUGCGGGUAAUCCCCAGCGAUGUAAGAUGCCGGCAUCGGUGUUUUAUCAAAGCUUUGGCGCCGUGGGACGGGCCGUCGUGGUAUUAGGUCGUUGGCGGGGUAACGGCCCACCAAGCCGAUGAUGCCUACCGGGCGUGCGAGCGUGGCCCGGCACACUGGGACUGAGACGCUGCCCAGACUCCUACGGGAGGCUGCAGUCGAGAAUCUUCGGCAAUGGGCGCAAGCCUGACCGAGCGACGCCGCGUGGAGGAUGAAGGCCUUCGGGUUGUAAACUCCUGUCGAGGGGGAGGAAGGGGAAACCUUGACCGAUCCCUGGAGGAAGCACGGGCUAAGUUCGUGCCAGCAGCCGCGGUAAGACGAACCGUGCGAACGUUAUUCGGAAUCACUGGGCUUAAAGCGCGUGUAGGCGGAUGGGAACGUCGGAUACUGAAAGCCCCCGGCUCAACCGGGGAAGUGGUUCCGAAACGACCUGUCUGGAGGGACGUAGGGGGAUCUGGAACUUCCGGUGGAGCGGUGAAAUGCGUUGAGAUCGGAAGGAACGCCCGUGGCGAAAGCGAGGUCCUGGACGUCUGCUGACGCUGAGACGCGAAAGCUAGGGGAGCAAACGGGAUUAGAUACCCCGGUAGUCCUAGCCGUAAACGAUGGGCACUGGGGUAGGGGGCUCGCCGAUGGGCUCUCUGCCGUAGCGAAAGCGUGAAGUGCCCGCCUGGGGAGUAUGGUCGCAAGGCUGAA